CCUACGGGAGGCAGCAGUAGGGAAUCUUCCACAAUGGGCGAAAGCCUGAUGGAGCAACGCCGCGUGGGUGAAGAAGGUCUUCGGAUCGUAAAACCCUGUUGUUAGAGAAGAAAGUGCGUGAGAGUAACUGUUCACGUUUCGACGGUAUCUAACCAGAACGCCACGGCUAACUACGUGCCAGCAGCCGCGGUAAUACGUAGGUGGCAAGCGUUAUCCGGAUUUAUUGGGCGUAAAGGGAACGCAGGCGGUCUUUUAAGUCUGAUGUGAAAGGCUUCGGCUUAACCGGAGUAGUGCAUUGGAAACGGGGAGACUUGAGUGCAGAAGAGGAGAGUGGAACUCCAGGUGUAGCGGUGAAAUGCGUAGAUAUAUGGAAGAACACCAGUGGCGAAAGCGGCUCUCUGGUCUGUAACUGACGCUGAGGUUCGAAAGCGUGGGUAGCAAACAGGAUUAGAUACCCGGGUAGUC
rnacentral:rRNA from 1 species